AUUGAACGCUGGCGGCAGGCUUAACACAUGCAAGUCGAGCGGAGCGAGGGUGCUUGCACCUUAGCUUAGCGGCGGACGGGUGAGGUAUGCUUAGGAAUCUGCCUAUUAGUGGGGGACAACAUUCCGAAAGGGAUGCUAAUACCGCAUACGCCCUACGGGGGAAAGCAGGGGAUCUUCGGACCUUGCGCUAAUAGAUGAGCCUAAGUCGGAUUAGCUAGUUGGUGGGGUAAAGGCCUACCAAGGCGACGAUCUGUAGCGGGUCUGAGAGGAUGAUCCGCCACACUGGGACUGAGACACGGCCCAGACUCCUACGGGAGGCAGCAGUGGGGAAUAUUGGACAAUGGGCGGAAGCCUGAUCCAGCCAUGCCGCGUGUGUGAAGAAGGCCUUUUGGUUGUAAAGCACUUUAAGCGAGGAGGAGGCUACUAGUAUUAAUACUACUGGAUAGUGGACGUUACUCGCAGAAUAAGCACCGGCUAACUCUGUGCCAGCCGCCGCGGUAAUAC
rnacentral:rRNA from 1 species